CAAAUGUUUCAACUUUCAUUAGAUCAUUAGAUAAGUACAAGUACUAAGGAUAGAAAAAUUCAUAUGAAUAAGGUUUGAAUAUUAUCAACUAUUGAAAUUUUAAAGAAAAUUAAUGUUUUAGUGAUUUCCAUUGAAAAUUUGCUGCCGAGUCCAUCUUUUAAAUCUAAUUAGUUGACUGUUGAAAUUCAAGUAAAUUCAGUUGUGACUGAACAACCAACAUGUUAUCUACAUUAUUAAGAUAAUGUCUUACCCUGUCGAGUCAUAAUAGAUGUCAUUGUGGGCCGAUUUAUUUGCCAUUUGCAAAAGCUAAAGAUAAAAGAUAAAAGAGGAAAAAAGCUAAACCUUUUUACCAUUGAAAUUCAUUGAACCUUAAAAACAUAUAUACUGGUAACAUUGAUAGGGAUCGAUAGAGUGUUUCACAAACCUCCUUACCUCACCUCCUCCUCUUCAUCAUACUCUAUCUUACCAUCCUCAUCCUCAUCCUCAUCUUCAUCUUCCUCUUUCUUCAUUAGUCUCUUCUAGAGCAUUAUCAAUCAUAUGCGUAAAAAAGACAACCUAUUAAAAUUGUAUACACAAAAAUGAUGACUGAAUAUCACCAGAAUCUAUUGAUAAUCAUCAGCAAAAAUGUGAAACAAAGUUAAAACCAGAUCAGAUUGAACAAUAACAAGGCUUUUCAAAUUUAUUCACAAAAAGGUGAACCGGUUCACGUUGGCCAUUCAUUGUUUCAUUUAUUGCUUAAUUGGCCAAAAUUAUGGAUCAAUGGUUGUGAUUUAGCAAUAUCUGUUUACCUCAUUAAAGGGAAUGUUCAUUUCAACUCUUGAAACUCUGUGUGGCCCAUUAAGAGAUCCAAAAAAGGCCAAAAAGAUGGUUUCACUCCCUUAAGCUUUUAUCGCCAUUAUCAACAUAUGUGCAUCAUAUUGAAAACAUAAUCCAAAUAUUGUUGAAUUUCUUGUCUAUUUCCAAUCAUUCAGUACUAAUCAACACUCUGGAGAUGCUAAUACAAUGUGACAGAGAAGCUUAUCUGAUAUUCAAAUGAUUAUAAUAAUAUAAUGCCAACAGCGAAACAAGACUCUCAGCUGAUCCAAUAUCAAUGAGUUAAGUGUACAACAAAAUCAAUUGUACAGUUACGAUAUUACAAUUGUUUGAUUGUAGUUGUUGGAGUAACAAAAGAAACACAAUAAUCAUUAAAUUAUCACACGAAAUUGAAAUUGAGAGUGAAAGUCUGAAAAUUGAUUAUGAAAUAGAUGUGCAUUACAAUUUGUUAAAUUACAUUAGUAUAUUUUUUUGUACAUACAUAAAGGUACCAACAAUCUUUGAUCAAUGUCAAAUUAAAUGUUGAUUCAAUUACAUUA